UGGAUCCAGACUUUGAUUAUGGCUCAGGAUGAACGCUAGCUACAGGCUUAACACAUGCAAGUCGAGGGGAAACGAUAGAGAAAGCUUGCUUUUUCUAGGCGUCGACCGGCGCACGGGUGAGUAACGCGUAUCCAACCUGCCCAUCACUUGGGGAUAACCUUGCGAAAGUAAGACUAAUACCCAAUGAUAUCUCUAGAAGACAUCUGAAGGAGAUUAAAGAUUUAUCGGUGAUGGAUGGGGAUGCGUCUGAUUAGCUUGUUGGCGGGGUAACGGCCCACCAAGGCGACGAUCAGUAGGGGUUCUGAGAGGAAGGUCCCCCACAUUGGAACUGAGACACGGUCCAAACUCCUACGGGAGGCAGCAGUGAGGAAUAUUGGUCAAUGGGCGAGAGCCUGAACCAGCCAAGUAGCGUGCAGGAUGACGGCCCUAUGGGUUGUAAACUGCUUUUAUAAGGGAAUAAAGUGAGCCUCGUGAGGCUUUUUGCAUGUACCUUAUGAAUAAGGACCGGCUAAUUCCGUGCCAGCAGCCGCGGUAAUACGGAAGGUCCGGGCGUUAUCCGGAUUUAUUGGGUUUAAAGGGAGCGUAGGCCGGAGAUUAAGCGUGUUGUGAAAUGUAGAUGCUCAACGUCUGCACUGCAGCGCGAACUGGUUUCCUUGAGUACGCACAAAGUGGGCGGAAUUCGUGGUGUAGCGGUGAAAUGCUUAGAUAUCACGAAGAACUCCGAUUGCGAAGGCAGCUCACUGGAGCGCAACUGACGCUGAAGCUCGAAAGUGCGGGUAUCGAACAGGAUUAGAUACCCUGGUAGUCCGCACGGUAAACGAUGGAUGCCCGCUGUUGGUCUGAAUAGGUCAGCGGCCAAGCGAAAGCAUUAAGCAUCCCACCUGGGGAGUACGCCGGCAACGGUGCAACUCAAAUGAAUUGAC
rnacentral:rRNA from 2 species